GUGAGGAAUAUUGGUCAAUGGACGAGAGUCUGAACCAGCCAAGUAGCGUGAAGGAUGACUGCCCUAUGGGUUGUAAACUUCUUUUAUACGGGAAUAAAGUUAGCCACGUGUGGUUUUUUGCAUGUACCGUAUGAAUAAGGAUCGGCUAACUCCGUGCCAGCAGCCGCGGUAAUACGGAGGAUCCGAGCGUUAUCCGGAUUUAUUGGGUUUAAAGGGAGCGUAGGCGGGGUAUUAAGUCAGUUGUGAAAGUUUGCGGCUCAACCGUAAAAUUGCAGUUGAUACUGGUAUCCUUGAGUGCAGCAGAGGUGGGCGGAAUUCGUGGUGUAGCGGUGAAAUGCUUAGAUAUCACGAAGAACUCCGAUUGCGAAGGCAGCUCACUGGAGUGUAACUGACGCUGAUGCUCGAAAGUGUGGGUAUCAAACAGGAUUAGAUACCCGGGUAGUCC
rnacentral:rRNA from 1 species